rnacentral:tRNA from 1 species
AGCCCGGUGGUGUAGCGGUCAAGCAAGCAUCGGUGUGCAACAUCUAGCCUUGAUUACUGGCCUUUGGAGCCGGUGACCUCAGUUCGAAUCUGAGCCGGGCUACCA